AGGUUUCAUUUUCCACCAACAAGAACGAGCGAAUACUUGUUUAGAAUUAGAAGGAAGGAGAGGAGAAGAAGAAAGAUCUCCGGUUGCAAGGAAUUGCAGAGCUGUGCAGGGAGCGAAGCUCGGCACCAAUGGAGGAAGCGCCGAAAAGCAAGAAGCCUAGCGGGGAGAGCGUUAAGCUCUUCGUAGGUCAGGUUCCCAAGAACAUGACUGAAGCUGAGCUUCUUGCAAUGUUCAAGGAGGUUGCUCUGGUAGACGAAGUCAACAUCAUUAAGGACAAGACAACUCGAGCUUCAAGAGGAUGUUGUUUUCUGAUCUGUCCGUCGAGGCAGGAAGCAGAUAAGGCUGUUAAUGCGUGGCAUAACAAGCGAACGCUUCCCGGGGCAUCCAGUCCAUUACAAGUGAAGUAUGCAGAUGGUGAAUUGGAAAGACUAGAACACAAGCUUUUUGUUGGUAUGCUUCCAAAGAAUGUAUCUGAUACUGAAGUUUCUGCCUUAUUUUCUAAAUAUGGAACCAUAAAAGAUUUACAAAUUCUGAGAGGUUCUCAACAGACAAGCAAAGGCUGUGCUUUUUUGAAGUAUGAGACUAGAGAACAAGCUAUUGCAGCUAUGGAAACCAUCAAUGGGAAAUACAGGAUGGAGGGUUCAAGUGUUCCUUUAGUUGUCAAGUGGGCAGAUACAGAAAAGGAAAGGCAAGCUCGUAGGGCUCAAAAAGUUCAAUCUCAGGCUUCUAAUGUGGCAAAUACUGAUUCAACACAGCAACAUUCAUUUUUUGGGGCCGUACCGGUGGGUUACAUCCCACCAUACAAUGGAUUUGGUUACCAGGCACCUGGGACUUAUGGGCUUAUGCAAUACCCCCUGCCAGCAGUACAAAACCAACCUGGCUUCCCUAAUAUGAUUCCACCAGUAAACCAAGGAAGUGCAUUGCGUGGAGUAACACCUGAUCUUACUCCUGGCAUAGCACCUAGGAAUUUUGCUGCAGUGCCAUCUGCCAGUUAUAUAGGGUCUGCAUAUCCUGCAGUUCCAGGCCUUCAAUAUCCUGUGGCCUAUCCUGGUGGAAUGGUCAGUCGCAGCCCUUUGAGUGGUUCUCAUGGUUCUGUGCCACCUGCAAUUGUGAAUAGUAAUUCAAUAGCAUCUUCAAGUGUCAGUACAAGUUCAGGUGUUCAGGUUGAAGGCCCCCCUGGUGCUAAUUUAUUUAUCUAUCACAUCCCUCAAGAAUUUGGUGAUCAAGAGCUUGCAAAUACUUUUCAACGAUUUGGUAGGGUCUUGAGUGCGAAGGUCUUUGUUGACAAAGCAUCUGGGGUUAGCAAAUGUUUUGGUUUUGUCAGCUUUGAUUCAGCUGCAUCAGCUCAGUCUGCCAUUAGUGGGAUGAAUGGAUGCCAAUUGGGUGGUAAGAAGUUGAAGGUACAGCUUAAGAGAGACAAUAAACAGAACAAACCUUACUGACAUUGAGGACUUUGCUUUCCUCUCCUUGAUGUAUGCUUUUGUUCCCAAAUUUACGUGGUGUAUCUGUAAGCUUAUCGGAGAUGUUGAGUAGCUGUGGCAAUUAUUUUUCCUGUUCAAAUGAUGUUCUUAUAAGGGUGUAUCAAAGUUGAAAAUUAUGUGGUUCUUUGUUCAUCCUGUUGUUUCUGUUGAGCACACGUUUCACUGUGCAGUGGCUGUUCAGGGUGAGUUGCCGUAUCUUUGGUGUUCAUCUGGGGGAUGAUUCAGGUGUCGGUGGUUGAGGUCUUGCUACAUGCAUGACUUUUUUUUAAUCAUGCUUAGUUAUCUGCUUGAUCAUUGAAAAUACUUGUAUAUUGGAAUUUCUAUUGUUGCAGUGUACUUCUUAAACUAAAACUUACAUACUUCUAAGAGAGAGAGAGAGAGAGAGAGAGAGAGAGAGAGUCAAAAAGUCUCCCUUCUAUGCUACACUUAUUAUUUUGUCUUCGUUCAAUCACACAAAAAGUGUGAUCUGGGAAUAUUCUAACCAACACCAUGUCAACUUAAAUAUUAAGGAUUGUUACAAGGUCUGAUGUGCAGUUAUGGUACCAAGACACAUGUCAAUUCCCAACCUACAGACGUACUUAAGUUAGAAAUUCUGUCCUGUUGGGAAUUACCAAAUAUUGCUGAUAAUGAUAUGCUUGUUUCACUCCCUCAAAAUUGCGUAUUUGGCCUGUUUUGCAUGCCUGCUAGCUCUGGAUUAUGGUAUUUUUCUUGUUCAUGCUCUUACAAUUGGGGGGUUAAGGCUGAGCUCGGUAGAGUAGAUCAAGCCAUUUUAAGAUAUUUUGGGGCUCUGGGAGUUAAGGCCAGCACCACAGUAUGAAGAAACUUUUAUUAGAAACUAGGAGCAUCUCCAAAAGAGAGAUUUGGCCUUCAGAUUAUCACAACUCAACAGGAUUGGUGACAUAAGCUCUAUUAAUAUUGGCUGUUGUUUCUUGGACUCAGUAGGUCAAUAGUGUCACUUUUUUUUUUUUUUUUUGUUUUUUAGCUGUUUAUUUUAUGUAAUUUGUGCUUAUGUUUACUUGUUAUAUUGUACUUGAUGGAUUAAAUAUUCGCAGGUACUGCAUUGCUGUUAACCACAUUUGCUGACAGGUAACAAGUCAUUUAGGGGCUUUUUAUCAAAAUCUAAUUAUACCAUAUAUGUAUUGGAUUUUAUCUUCUAGUUAUCCCUUGCUAGUGAUGUUUUCAACGCCAUUUUUUUUUUGUGGGGGGGAAUCAAUUACAAAGUUGUCAUGCAUUGAAAAAAUAGCAAUUCUCUUUAUUAAGAGCAUUAGAUUUCCUGUCAAAACAUGGUAACUUAUCAUACCCUGGACAAUUGUAUUUCAAAUAUAUUUAUUAAUUUCAAUAUUUUCAGAAAUGAUACUAAUAUAAGAAGUAUUUGAUAGAGCAAUUUGGCAUCAAAUUAGUAGUUAAAGAAUGCAAUACUUUUAUUUAAUAAACUUUAAGAUAGAGAGUAAGUGAAAGAGAAAAAGUAUUGGGAUGGAGCUGCUUUUUUAUUUAAUGUAAGAGAGAAAGCAGAAGAAAAAAAAAGAAUCCUCUUUAUAUUUUUCUUUCUUUUUCUCUCAAAACCCUUGUAUAUUUCACUAAAACAAAGUGUGUGUGUGUGUGGUUGUAUGUAUGUAUGUUAUCCAUAUGUGUGUGUGUGUGUGUGUGUGAGAGAGAGAGAGAGAGAGAGAGGGAGAGAGAGGGAGAAUGUAUUGACACAAUGGUAUUAGCAAAAUGAAUGAGACUAUAAUUAGGAGCCUUCAUUAUAAGCAAGGCAUUUAAGUGAGGCACCCAGCCAAGGGUGCUAGUCACCUAGGUGGCACCUUGACAACUGUGCAUAAUGAUACUUGGAUGGAGAUUUUGUAUAGGCUAUUAGACUUAAUGGUGUAGAGGAAAAGAAAUUUAGAGCGCAUGGAAAAAUGAGAGUAGAGAAAAGCUAUAGAGGUUCCUUGCAUCCUUAAAUGUAAUACUGUCAAUUAAAGGCAGUUGGAGUGCUUAACCGCUUACAGAUUUCAGGACUUGCUGGUGAAUUUCAGUAUUUCAUUCUCUCUCUCUCUCUUGGGAGGGGGAGGAUUCUGUUGUGCCUCAGAUAUUUCUAUUCAUGUAAAACAGUAAAAGAAUUCAAAUGUAUGCUCUUAGAAUUCCAUUUUGCAUAAGGGGAAAAGGAACAAUUGUUACUUGAAUUAUCCUCUUUGAUUAAUUUUCCUUUAGCCAGCUUUUUUGAUUAUAUUACAAGUUCUGAGUCUCGUAGAAUUCUUCUCCCAUGUGGUAAUGCUUCAUGUUUUAGAAAGUACAGUUUGGAAACACCUGGGAAGACAUCCAGGCUGAAGGAAUUUCUUUAAGCAAGCGAAGUGUAGCCUAACCGCAGGUCUUCGCUAGUGACGACUAUUAAAAACGCAAACCAGGGAAGCUGCAUCUCAUCUCUAUCCUCCCCAUUAUAGCUUUUAUGGGGUUGAAGUUGAAGGUACUGGAUCUGCUUUUGAGAUAUGUAUGACAUGAAAAGUGAUAUUUAGAACGUAAAGCUCUCCAAC